rnacentral:misc_RNA from 1 species
AAAAGUCGUAACAAGGUCUCCGUAGGUGAACCUGCGGAGGGAUCAUUAACAAAGCAAGGUGUUCAGGAAAGAGGCGACUGCGUAGCAGGAGCGUCUUUUCUGAAUUCCCAAACACAUGAUGCCACCGAUGGUUGGAUUUCAAUUGUUGGUGGCACACAUACAUUCACAUUUCUACAACAACCACUUCAACUAAAUACAAACAACUUUUAACAAUGGAUCUCUUGGCUCUUG